AUUGAACGCUGGCGGCAGGCCUAACACAUGCAAGUCGAACGAGUGGCGGACGGGUGAGUAAUGUCUGGGAAACUGCCCGAUGGAGGGGGAUAACUACAGGAAACGGUAGCUAAUACCGCAUCCAAUAGGAUGUGCCCAGAUGGGAUUAGCGAGUGGGUGGGGUAAAGGCUCACCUAGGCGACGAUCCCUAGCUGGUCUGCGAGGAUGACCAGCCCCACUGUAAAUGAGACACGGUCCAGACGCAUACGGGAGGCAGCAGUGGGGAAUAUUGGACAAUGGGCGCAAGCCUGAUACAGCCAUGCCGCGUAUAUGAAGAAGGCCUUCGGGUUGUAAAGUACGUUCAGCGAGGAGGCGUUACUCGCAGAAGAAGCACCGGCUAACUCCGUGCCAGCAGCCGCGGUAAUUC
rnacentral:rRNA from 1 species